rnacentral:tRNA from 1 species
ACCCGGGUAGUUUAAGUAAAAUGUUGAUUUGUGGUGUCAAGGAUAUGGAAUUCCAUCUCGGGUC